rnacentral:misc_RNA from 1 species
CUGAGUUUGAAAUUGAAAAAUUUCAUCUCCCACCCUUUGUUUAUAAGACCUGUUGCUUCGGCGAGAUUGAUGAUUUUAUAUCAUCGGUUGAUUGAAUCUAUUCAAUGAACUUUGCUUGCCGAAGUUUUUUAUAACACUUUUUUUCUUGAUAUUCGAGUUUAAAAAACAAAAAAUUA